rnacentral:rRNA from 1 species
GACGAACGCUGGCGGCGUGCUUAACACAUGCAAGUCGAACGGAAAGGCCCUGCUUUUGUGGGGUGCUCGAGUGGCGAACGGGUGAGUAACACGUGAGUAACCUGCCCUUGACUUUGGGAUAACUUCAGGAAACUGGGGCUAAUACCGGAUAGGAGCUCCUGCUGCAUGGUGGGGGUUGGAAAGUUUCGGCGGUUGGGGAUGGACUCGCGGCUUAUCAGCUUGUUUGUGUGGUAGUGGCUUACCAAGGCUUUGACGGGUAGCCGGCCUGAGAGGGUUACCGGCCCCAUUGGGACUGAGAUACGGCCCAGACUCCUACGGGAGGCAGCAGUGGGGAAUAUUGCACAAUGGGCGGAAGCCUGAUGCAGCAACGCCGCGUGCGGGAUGACGGCCUUCGGGUUGUAAACCGCUUUCGCCUGUGACGAAGCGUGAGUGACGGUAAUGGGUAAAGAAGCACCGGCUAACUACGUG